rfam:Pongo abelii chromosome 13.
UGAUAUCAGAAAUAAUCUGGCUAUGGUAUCUAACACUUCUCUGAUUACUAAGGUUAAUUCCAUCUAUCUUUCUGGUUCUGCAGAUAUCUCCUUCCUCCCUCAUUAUUCCAUGAUUGCCUCGUAUGAAACCAUGAGCUUGAUCAGAAAGGGUGACUUUCACACUUAGAAAAGGACCAUUCUUGAGUCAAGGGUGUAUGAGUACAGUGGUUGCACUAUUUCGGCAUAUCAUACCUAUUAAUGCUGGUCACUUGUUUUGAAGGUUGACCAAGGGU